CCAAAUUCCCAACGGUGGAUGUCUUGGUUCCCACAACGAUGAAGAACGCAGCGAAGUGCGAUAAGCAGUGCGAAUUGCAGAACCGUGAGUCAUCAGAUUUUUGAACGCAACCGGCGCCGUGUGGGCUUGCUCACUGGCACGCCUGGUCCAGUG
rnacentral:rRNA from 1 species